UGUUGUGAUCAUCGGCGCAAAAUUCACCAGCUUAUUGCUGGUUGCCCCGGGCUAUCCUGCUGGUUUUGUGUUGGUGAUCGAGCCCUACGCCACGUGCCGGUGGUGGACUAACACCAGCAACGGAGUUGGAUCUCAUCUUGCAUAUUAACAUGCGAUGCAUGCAGAUAUAUCUCUCGAGACUGACAUUGACGGCGACAGCGCCAUGGCGCAGCCUGACCCAGCAUGACCAGUGUGGCUGGUGGGAGUGACUUAUGGGGAGUUUUGAAGCCACAGCCACCUCAGUGGUUUUAAAAGUUGCCUAAGGUGGAUAUGGGUGACCUUACCAGGAGCCACAGCUAAAGCACAAUGUCACCAACUCAGUUAAAGACUACUCCAAGGGACUGCGCUACUUAAAGGUUUCACAAGAGGUUAGUUCUUGGCCACUUCAGCAGCUGAAAGGAUUGGCAUGUUCCAGAGAAACAGCAGUGGAGCCUGUCCAAGGAGACAACCAAAUGCAAAAUGAUCAAGGAUAAAGUUGCUUUUGCUGUGAAUUGUCUACCUGUAUGUAUUGGUGACCAUGGGAAGCAAGAGGUCUCAGUAGCAACCAGCAGGCUUAAGAUUGCAGUAUUGACCUUGUUGCAGUUCAUCUGGAAGAAAGCAAGGGCAGAGCGGACAUUGCCACUAUAAUGGAGAAGAAUGAAUCAACUGUUCAGGUGCAUUGGAGGAAAGAUCAUCGCUUUACGAGUGGAGAACAAGGAACACCGGUACUGGCAGGAAUGCCAAAUCAUAUACAGAUAAAUAUAUUGAUUGGUUUUUAUUGAUAUCUGAAACAAAAAGUCGCAUCCCAUUAAGGUGAUCCCCUGGCUGUGUGAUCCCUA